rnacentral:rRNA from 1 species
AUUGAACGCUGGCGGCAGGCCUAAUACAUGCAAGUCGAGCGGAGCGGCGGACGGGUGAGUAAUGCCUAGGAAUCUGCCUGGUAGUGGGGGAUAACGUCCGGAAACGGGCGCUAAUACCGCAUACUAUCAGAUGAGCCUAGGUCGGAGUAGCUAGUUGGUGGGGUAACGGCCUACCAAGGCGACGAUCCGUAACUGGUCUGAGAGGAUGAUCAGUCACACUGGAACUGAGACACGGUCCAGACUCCUACGGGAGGCAGCAGUGGGGAAUAUUCGGCAAUGGACGAAAGCCUGAACCAGCCAUGCCGCGUGUGUGAAGAAGGUUUUCGGAUUGUAAAGCACUUUUAUUUGGGAGGCGUUACCAACAGAGUAAGCACCGGCUAACUUCGUGCCAGCAGCCGCGGUAAUUC